UUAACCAGAAUGAACUAUUGAAUUUUAACCAUUUUUAAAGUUCUUGUUGAAAACCAAAAUAAUGGUUGAAAAUUCCAGUACAAACAAAAAUUAUUCGGUUGUUAUGAGCGUUCCGCCAUUGUUUUUUUCGAUUCUCUAGUUGAAUAAUUUUACGCUGCUAUAAAACCUGAAAAGCGAUCACCACGAGCAGUACCGAUGAUAACAAUCCCUUGGACAAUUCCGGCGAUUGGAGGAAACAGUCGGACUUCAUGGUGGAAGCGACGUCCUGAGAUCGCACCAAGUAACAAGAGAACGGUGAGCCGAUCGACGAUAAGAUGUUUCAUCUUUUCCAAGCAUAUCCGCAAUCAACAAUGAGUGAGUUGUUGGUUCCAAUAACCUUCCGGACCACGGAGCAGAAAAAAUAAACAAAACUAUCAGAACUACGCAAAUGCUAUUUAUUUGAUCGAAAAGAUUGUUAUUCAGGCCAAAAUUUAUUAAGGAAAGUUUUUAAAAAGUGACUGCAUAUUAUAGAUAGAAUUGUGGAAAAAAAUAGUUCUGCAAGCGGGGCUCCAACAUGUCUCGGGCUCCAAGGAACCGUCUUUAAAAACCGAGCUCUAGACAAAACAUAGUGGACAUUUUUCAAUUUGCCCCAUUGAAUUCCACCAAAUGGCUAUAGGGAUCAUGCGAUGUCGGUUCCGAGUCGAGUUUCCACUUGUUUCAUUCUCAAUGCUCCGUUAGCCCCAGCAUGUUGUCCAGCCUUCCGGACUCUGGAACUCGAGAAUAGUAGUAAUAAUUUCAUGCAGGCACGCAACUUGGCUUGUUUAAAAUAUCAACAAGUUUCCUAUCUAAGUUUUCGUUAAGGAGAAAUGAUUUAUGUUAUAGCUUUUAACUAAAUACAAUAAAGAAACUAUUCACGUCUAACGGCAUAUCUACUUUAGCCUUCAGUUUUUGUAUUAAAUUCGGAAAUCUUUCAUUUUACU